GCCGCGGUAUAUUGACCGUACAAAGGUAGCAUAAUCAUUAGUUUAUUAAUUGUGAACUUGUAUGAAUGAUUGGACGAGAUAUAUCUGUUUCUUUUUUAGUUAAUGAAUUUUAUUUAUCUUUGAUAAAGAGGAUAUGUUUAUGAAAGACGAGAAGACCCUGUAGAGUUUUAUUAAAUGGCUUCGUUAGGUGUUUUUUUAGUUAUUAAUUUGGUUGGGGUAAUUUAAAGUAUUAAAUGUUUUAUUUGUUAUUAUUGUUAGUUAAGUAUAAUGAGCUAAAAAUUAAUUGGUUGAUUAAAUUACCUCAGGGAUAACAGCAUAAUUUGAUUAAGGAGUUCUUAUCUAUAAUUUAGUUUGUGACCUC
rnacentral:rRNA from 1 species